CAUGAUUAGCGAAAGCUAGGAUUGUAUAGAGAGUAGUCGCAGUCGCUCCAACUCCGAUUUGUGGAUAUAAUCUUUGAUUUUAUUUACGAGUAAGGUGAGAAACAACUAUAAAGUUGGGAACUUUAAUUUUAUUAAGAAAUUAAGGAACUGU
rnacentral:ncRNA from 1 species